CAAGACAUGGAAAUAACCUAACUGUCCCUGGAUGGAUGAACGGAUAAAGAAAAUGUGGGGCAUAUACACACACAGAGAAAUGUUAUUCAGCCAUAAAAAAAGGAAUCCCACCAUUUGACAACAUAAAUGGACUUCAAGAGCAUUAUGCUAAGUGAAACUAUAAGUUCCAUGAGAGAAGAGAUUUUAUUUCAACCAAUUUAUAACCCCAAAGCCAUCUGCCCAGAGCCAUGCAUGGAGCAGGUGCUUGAUAAAUGCCUAUCAAAAAGAGGAACAACUCAACAUCUCUUGCCUUUCCAUCUCAACCAUCUCAUCUCCAAAACAGCGAUAUUGCUCCUCAGCUGCUCCACAGGGGAGCUAAUUAAUUCUAUGAAACUGGAAAAUGUUCUGAAGUUCUGCAGUACUUUGGAAGCACUCAAGAACAUUAAUAUGUGCCAUAAAAAUAUUACUGUUACUUCUCUGAUGCAUAAACGGUGAAUAAUCCAUUUUAAUGUGUUUGCUUUGAAUAUACUUGACCAAUUUGCAGGAAGUAAUCUACUCAUGGAUACCUCUGUGGGCUGAAUAAAAUGUGGCCUCUUCUA